GGGAGGAGUCUGAAAAGAGCUUUCUCUUACUGAGCAUGGCCUCUGCCCAUCCAGUGGAGGCUGGGAUGGCACAAUCAGAAGGUGUAGUUUGAUUUCUUAUUCUCAGUAAUGAACAGUGCACUCUAGUCCACUUUUGCCAAGGGAAUUAUUCUAACAUUCAUAUACUUGUCCCCUUAUAAGCACAAACUUUGAGAGUAGGGAUUAUUUCUUUCUUUGUAUUUGUAUUCACUAUGACUAGUUUAGCACAGUCUUUGACAUAUAGAAUUACAUUUAAUUUGGUUUAGAUGAAGGACUGAGGGCACCAGAAUUUCUGAGGAAGGUUUAUGGCAAGUUGGAAACUUCCUAUCAAGUAAUAAUUAAUGCAUCUUUUUCAGGGGAAGCAAUAGAGCUUGUCAGGAAUUGGUGGCAAAAAGAUUAAACAUCCAUACUCUCUGGCAUUUUCCCCCAUUUUCCAGCUUCCUUUGGUAGAUACUCUUCCUCUAUUAGAUUAUAAGAUCUUCCAGGACAAGAGUAGUCUCUCUCUCUCUCUCCUUUUUUCUUCUUAUUUUUCAACCCAUCUCCAGUUCUUUUGUGAAGCUGGCAGCUUGGGCCUAAGUCCAGAAAGACUUGCUAAUUUGGUUUUUCUCUUAAAUAGUCUGCAGAGUAAAUCCGGCAACAUUUAUCUACUUCCCAGAAUAGUGAUUUAUGACAUUAUAAAUAGUAAAGAAUGCUGAUUUCAUUAAUUUUAUUAUCUGUAGGUCUCAAAGGGGAGAAACAAAGAUGAUUUAAAAAAAAAAAGAAAAAAAUAUUUAAGUAGCAAUGAGAACUUACAAUAAAAAACUAGUUAAAAACCUAUACCUUUUUAUAUACGAUCAACAAAUUCUGAAUUAUUUUUUUAUUUUUUUUUAUCAUAAAUGGAAAAUGAAAAUAUUUAACAUGAACACUUGAUACAUAAUUUCCUUAAAACUCUUCUAUCGGGAAACAAAACUGUACAUAUUUAAAGAGUGCAAUAAUAAACACUCAUGAUAAUGUCACACCAAUUAGUAUUGGUUUAUUCCCAAAUUAUUACCAGUUUGGGCUACGGUUGUAUGAAAAAAGGUGUGCAAAGCUUAUUAGGACCUGGCCUGACAGAAGACUUAUUUCUCAGAGUCAAAACCUUUAAAUCUCUGAGUUCAGAAAGUGACAAAAUAGCGUAAAUACACUAUAAAUGGACAAAUAAGUCUUAUAAGAGGCUAGAGAUAAUGGAAAAAAUAUU
rnacentral:lncRNA from 1 species